AAAGCACUUCAUCUACAACAUUUGGGCAGACACAGGAGUCCCAAUUCUGCAUGUUCUUAUGGGUUAUGUAAUAAGGCAAAUCCACAACAAGAAGUGGAUACAACCAUCCUGUGGACAUAGCUUGGAGGGUUUGUUCCUUAAGAGGAGGCUUAAGCAUCCAAUAAUAGACAAUGCUCAGAUUCACUUCCCAGGAGCUGAUUCUUAACUUUGGGGUGCAUGCAACUUGUAACAGGGGCAAUUGCAGAAGAAGCCUCACUAUCUUGGGUCAAAAUCUUGGCUCUGAAAACAGUAACUGGAAGAUCUUGAGAGCGUCUCUUAAUUUCUCUUCCUUCUCUACAUGAAGAGGUUUUUAUCUGGCAGUGUCUUGCGAGAUUGAAAUUCCUUUUGCUUUGCCUCAGACGUGGUUACUCCCCUUGCACGCCCCCUCCCCCCGAGUAUAAAUGAGCCAGGCAAAGAUAAAAGAUGGAACGCUCUCUUUUUGCCUACUCCCAAGGAAAUUCCAUCAUCCUUGAAAGGCCAUGUGACUGCACAAAGCCCAAUGAGAGUCGAAAGAGGCAGCCCACAAGGACAGCCUUAGUGUGAGCUGAAAAUGAAGUUGUUACCAGACAGCAAACUACAGUCCUCGCUUGUUAUGAAUAUUUGAAUGAGUAACUAAAAACAGCUCAGUAAACUCUAAGCAACUAUGACAGCUGAAACUGUUUGGAAACCAGGAGUCCACCAGGACCAUGAUGAAAAGAUCGACAGUUACCUUGCGCCUCAUCCCCAGACUGGGUCUACAGAGGGGGCAGUAUCAGAUCUAUUUUACUCAGAUAUAAGUUAUGAAGAAUCUGAUUUAUCAUUGCACAUUCAGAAGCGAAGCAUCCCUCAAUCUCUUGUGUUAUUUUGACUUCAUUAAAUGCAAUGAUUUCUAACAAUCUU